rnacentral:tRNA from 1 species
GGUGGGUAUAGCUCAGUGGUAGGGCACGUGCUUAGCAUGCACGAGGUCCUGGGUUCAAUCCCCAGUACCUCCA